AAGCACACUAACACAGUCACAGCACACAAGCAACAUGUGCACAUUUUUUUUGGCUCUUUCUUCACCUACAGCUGGGAGACCAGUUCCUUGACUUCUGUUAUCUGAAGAAAAUGUAUCAGAGCUGUCGCUCUUCAGACCACAACCAGGUUAAAAGGCUGCCAAAGUGGUCACCUGAAAAGCACAUCACUACCAGGUCCCCAGUUGUACAACGAGGUAAUGAAGUAAAGAUUUACGCCAGAUGAAAAUUUUGAAGCAUGUUUCCUCAAAGUCACUUUAUUUUCAUUCCACAAGGUAUAAAUAAUAUAAAAGCCUGGUUUUUGUUGGCUUAUUUUUAUUUAUUUUCUCUGGUUAUUUGUUGUGCUUCCAUUUAUUUCUCCCUCUGAUUUUAAUUUCUGCUCUAGGAUUCAUUUUGAUUCCAGCUCCCUCAAAUAUUAUGCACAUAAAUUAAGUAGCACUAUUCAGAAAACAGAAAUCUGGGAGUCACCUGCAUAACCCAGCAGCCAGGAAAGGAUGCAAAACAUAGAGAGCACAGAGAAUGAGAAAGAAGUAUUGACAUUUUGAUUAUAUUUCAUUCCAAUGUUGUAAAUGGAACACAGUGGUUCUCAUGUCAUUUCAAAAAAAAAAAAAAAAAAGAUAAAGCAGAUGUUGAAAGGGUCCAAAAUCAUACUUUGAAAAGCAUGACAAAACUGGAAGAAUAUCUAUA